GGGGGGGGGGGGGGGGGGGGGUGGGGGGGGCGGGGGGGGCGAGGCCGGCGGGGGUGGUGGCGCAGGGGUGCGGGGCGCGGUGGAGCCGUCCCGGAGGUGGGGAAUCACGACCCGACAGGGGUGCUAAUACCGUAGCAUGGCUGCGGGACAAAGAUUUAUCGCCUUUGGAUGGGCCGCCGUUGGGUUGUCUAGUUGGUAGGGGAAAAGCCGUCCAAGGCGACGAUCCAUAGCUGGUCUCAGGGGAUGAUCAGCCACCCUGGGACUGCGACACGGCCCAGACUCCUACGGGAGGCAGCAGUUGGGAAUAUUGGACAAUGGGCGAAAGCCUGAUCCAGCAAUGCCGCGUGAGUGAUGAAGGCCUUAGGGUUGUAAAGCUCUUUUACCCGGGAUGAUAAUGACAGUACCGGGAGAAUAAGCUCCGGCUAACUCCGUG
rnacentral:rRNA from 1 species